rnacentral:rRNA from 1 species
UGCCAGCAGCCGCGGUAAUACAUAGAGUGCAAGCGUUAAUCGGAAUAACUGGGCGUAAAGCGCACGUAGGCGGAUUAGUAAGCUAGGGGUGAAAUCCCGGGGCUCAACCCCGGAACUGCCUCUAAUACUGCUAGUCUUGAGUUCGAGAGAGGUGAGUGGAAUUCCGAGUGUAGAGGUGAAAUUCGUAGAUAUUCGGAGGAACACCAGUGGCGAAGGCGGAUCACUGGCUCGAUACUGACGCUGAGAUGCGAAAGCGUGGGGAGAAAACAGGAUUAGAUA